rnacentral:rRNA from 1 species
UACGUAGGGGGCAAGCGUUAUCCGGAUUUACUGGGUGUAAAGGGAGCGUAGGCGGUGCAGCAAGUCAGAAGUGAAAGCCCGGGGCUCAACUCCGGGACUGCUUUUGAAACUGUUGAACUAGAUUGCAGGAGAGGUAAGUGGAAUUCCUAGUGUAGCGGUGAAAUGCGUAGAUAUUAGGAGGAACACCAGUGGCGAAGGCGGCUUACUGGACUGUAAAUGACGCUGAGGCUCGAAAGCGUGGGGAGCAAACAGG